UUGGUAGAAUCUAAACAUCUAGACAAUUUGAAACUCAUUUUCAUCCACUUAAAAUAUUCAUGAAAACUCUCUCUUAUAUAACACCUGGAAAUGGUAUGCUCUUUAUUUGUAUCUUUUCCAUUUGCCACAUAAUUUUAUCCUCGUGGAAUUUAUUUUUAUCCUUAAGUCUUUAAUUAACCACACUGUUAGGCUUCCCAGCAACAAAAUAGGUUUACAAACUCUGCUGCUGGCUGGAAUUUGGAAGGAGGAUGGGAGAUAGAUUUAUGGUCCAAAGGAGUGAAGCAUCCCCAGGAUUGGUUCAGUGUCAUGCUCAGUGUGGGAGGAGCAAACCGCAGGAUGCCCAGGACCUAGAUCUUCCACUGGUUUAUCCGCAGUGCCCAAGCCGCAGGGUCUUAAUGGGGGGGAGCAGGAGGCAAGUAAAAAUAGAAAGUGCUGUUAUGGGGCAAAACUCUCUGUAAGACUUUGAGAACAAAGCAGCACCACCUUGGCCUAAAGGGUGAGUGUGGCCUGAAAGUGGGAAAAAAAGAUCUGUCCUUACACUUCAGCGAGUCCAUUUCUGAGCGUCAUGGACACUGUGAGACUGUGAUCCUGAGAAACAGCAGGCACAUCAGCAUUUGUAGCCUGACUCCUAUAGUCGCUGCCACACAGAGGCUGGCGGAGCUCACACCAGAACUAGCCCUCGGGCAACAUCUGUUGUGAGCAGCAGCCCCGUUGGCAGGCCCACGAUGAUGGCCCUGGCUGGGCAGACACACCCUGACAUCAGGCACAGCACCCCCAGAGUAGCAGUAUCUCGGGUGGUUGCCAUGGUUUCAGUGGCAGCUGACGAGAGCAGCCUUGGCCAAGUACCAGUUCUUCUGCUCAGUUGGGAGCUUUACUGCAAACUCCAGGGAGACAUCCCCCAGAAGGAGCCCAAGUGGUCACAAGUGGCCAACACAGGAAAGACGUAUUUGCAAACCCAUGUGAAAUACCAACUGGGCACCCCUCCCAAACUUGGUAUCAACUUGCAAGGGUCCCAGUGCUGCUGCCCUGGCAGAGGGAAGCCAGAACCAAGAAGCCUCGCUUUUCACUCAACACAGCCCUGUUUUGGCCUCAGACCUUUGUGGGCUGGGCAAACGAGGUCCGACAGAAUCUCUCCAAAACUUGCAACAGACCAGCCCAUCAUUAUGAGAUAAAUAGUGGCUGGAAAAUAGGAGAUUCAAAACUGAAAGUGCCAGGAUGGCAUCAGAGCUUAACUCAAAGUGCCCUCCAGGCUAUGAGGCCUGCCUUUGCCUAUUCUGUCCAACAUCAACUGGGAAUUUUCCGAUAUGGGAGAUGACCUGAUCUAAUUAAGGGGAAAUGGUAUUACUGUAGGUCAAAUCAGCGCAAAGUAAGUCAAGAAAAGCAGAAGCUAGCCUGUCAAGGCCUCCCUUCCAAUGCUUACACAAGAGGAGAAGUAAAGGGGUAUUUGCUGAUAAUCAGCUAGAACUAGAGAGUUCCUGCCUAGAAAAUGUUGGCCACUAAAUAACCAUGACCUUAACCGAAGGGCACUGAGCUGAGUUUAGUCGUACUUGCAGAGAGUCUGAAGUUCUCUGAAUGAGAAGAUGUGCCAAGUAUUUCACUGAGGCAUGAAAUCCCCAUCCUCUCUCCGCAGCAUAGAGGGAGGCAGGCAGGAAGAGAGCCUGGGCUCGGGGGGAAGCUUCACGCUCAAAGACUGAGGCCCUACCUCCAGCAAGUCACCAAAUACUCACAACCAGUGGGCAGCAGAGCCAGCCUGGCCAAGGACCUGUUCUGCAAAGAACUUACUGUAUCCACUUGCAGGCUCCCUUUGGGUUUUUUUUUUUUUUUUUCUUCCAAGAAGCUGAGAAAAAUGUGGACUGUGACAGCUCUGGGCUGGGAAAGCAUUCUGGCUCCAGAAGACAAGUUAGCAUGUGGACACCUUCCUGGAGGCCCCCAGACCCUGACCCACGUCGGCAUGUAUCUCCCUAAACCCCACUUAGCCUGGAUGAGUGCGGCUUGAGUUGCUGUUGAACAUCAAAGCCAAAUCCUUCCCGCUCUGAGUGUCAACAAGUUUGGCAGACUUUUGUCCACCAUCCAUUACUUGGAUGAAGAAACCAGAGCUUAUAAAGCUGUGAGAAGUGUACCCGGGUAAAAUUGGAUCUUGGAUCUGACAGACUGCAUCCUGGGUGCUUUCUAACACAGGGCAAUCCUCCCAAGGGAGGGGAGUCAAGAAAAAAAUACUGAAUAAUGUUUUCCAGAAAAGUGCGAGAGAAAAGCAAGAAACAGAAAUGAUAGGAACCAACGACAGCUGGACCGGACGCCUAGAAAGCUACUGAUCCCGGUCGGAAUAUGAGGAGAGAAGGCCCCAGGGAAAAGAUCUGGAUAAAUAACCACAACAAAAAUACUCGAUUGCGUGGAAAGUAGCAUCAAGAGGCAUGGUACAGCGCUAUUAGAAUAUUUAGAAUUAAUGAUUGUACAAAUUUUUUCAAAAAUGAGAGUCAAUUAAUAACUCCAGGAACAUUUUAAGAAUUUGAUUA